GUGGCGGACGGGUGAGUAACGCGUAAAGAACUUGCCUUACAGACUGGGACAACAUUUGGAAACGAAUGCUAAUACCGGAUAUUAUGACUGAGUCGCAUGAUUUGGUUAUGAAAGCUAUAUGCGCUGUGAGAGAGCUUUGCGUCCCAUUAGUUAGUUGGUGAGGUAACGGCUCACCAAGACGAUGAUGGGUAGCCGGCCUGAGAGGGUGAACGGCCACAAGGGGACUGAGACACGGCCCUUACUCCUACGGGAGGCAGCAGUGGGGAAUAUUGGACAAUGGACCAAAAGUCUGAUCCAGCAAUUCUGUGUGCACGAUGAAGUUUUUCGGAAUGUAAAGUGCUUUCAGUUGGGAAAGAAGUCAGUGACGGUACCAACAGAAGAANGCGACNGGCUAAAUACGUGCCAGCAGCCGCGGUAAUACGUAUGUCGCAAGCGUUAUCCGGGAUUUAUUGGGCGUAAAGCGCGUCUAGGCGGUUUAGUAAGUCUGAUGUGAAAAUGCGGGGCUCAACCCCGUAUUGCGUUGGAAACUGCUAAACUAGAGUACUGGAGAGGUAGGCGGAACUACAAGUGUAGAGGUGAAAUUCGUAGAUAUUUGUAGGAAUGCCGAUGGGGAAGCCAGCCUACUGGACAGAUACUGACGCUAAAGCGCGAAAGCGUGGGUAGCAAACAGGAUUAGAUACCCUGGUAGUCCACGCCGUAAACGAUGAUUACUAGGUGUUGGGGGUCGAACCUCAGCGCCCAAGCUAACGCGAUAAGUAAUCCGCCUGGGGAGUACGUACGCAAGUAUGAAACUCAAAGGAAUUGACGGGGACCCGCACAAGCGGUGGAGCAUGUGGUUUAAUUCGACGCAACGCGAGGAACCUUACCAGCGUUUUGACAUCCCAAGAAGUUAACAGAGAUGUUUUCGUGCCUCUUCGGAGGAACUUGGUGACAGGUGGUGCAUGGCUGUCGUCAGCUCGUGUCGUGAGAAUGUUGGGNUUAAGUCCCGCAACGAGCCCAACCCCUUUCGUAUGUUACCAUCAUUAAGUUGGGGACUCAUGCGAAACUGCCUGCCAUGAACAGGAAGAAAGNUGGGGAUGACGUCAAGUCAUCAUGCCCCUUAUACGCUGGGCUACACACGUGCUACAAUGGGUAGUACAGAGAGCUGCAAACCUGCGAGGGUAAGCUAAUCUCAUAAAACUAUUCUUAGUUCGGAUUGUACUCUGCAACUCGAGUACAUGAAGUUGGAAUCGCUAGUAAUCGCAAAUCAGCUAUGUUGCGGUGAAUACGUUCUCGGGUCUUGUACACACCGCCCGUCACACCACGAGAGUUGGUUGCACCCUGAAGUAACCAGGCCUAACCCGUAAGGAGGGAUGUUCCGAGGGU
rnacentral:rRNA from 1 species